GCUUAGGAAUAGGUAUAGGAUACAUUUAUUUCAAUAACCUAAGCAG
rnacentral:tRNA from 1 species